CGCUGAGGCGCGAAGAGCGCGCGCUCACCUCGUGAGGCCUGGCCGUCAUAUUCGGCCCACCUCGUCCUGGCAGAUGUCUUGAGCGCAGCUGCGUGCAGAGCAAUGAAGAGGUGGGACGGACAUGCCGAGGUGUUCAGGUGCUCCAUCAGUGGUUCAGGCCAGGACUCAACCGUUCCCGUACAGUGGUAAAGAGAGAGGUAAGUUACAUUAUAACAUUCUUAAGGAGUCACUUGUGGAGAAACACCAAGCUCACUACUAUGCUAGCAGCGUGGACUGGUUUUUAAACUGUGGGUUAUAUUCGUCUAGUUGAUUAACCUAGAAAGAACAGUGAGCGCUUCUCAGAGUUACUUCAACAGUCAGUGAAAUUACACCUGAUAUUAUCUGUUGCCCAGAGAGCAAAUCUGGCUGAAGACUUGUGUAAUGUCUGGACCAGCAGCAAAAUAAACCUUUUGUAUAGUACAAUGCAAUUAUAAAAACCAAUAUAUAUGCAGAAGAGAAGGUGUUUUCUGGUAUCUGUAGAAUUACAGAAUAUAAAAUCUUCAAAUUUAGGGUAGGUUUUAGCACCAAAAUAUAGUAUUUUUUUCCAGGAUUAAAUACAGUGUUACAGACAGUUGUGUCCUACAUGUGCCCAUGCAUGAUGUACUGACUGAAGUAAGACAUGGUGUCUUCAAAAAAAAAAAAAAUUGUUGAAGUAUCACAUGAAAAUAGCAAUACCCUCACAGGUUUCUUAAGUGAGGCAGGAGAUAAGUGACUGUCAGUCUUACAUUUUUUUCUCCUUUAGUAGUCUCAAAACAGCAGCAUAACAGUAUGUUCAGACUCAUGCUUCAUGCAAACCAUAGACCAGUGGUAUGUGUCUACUUCACCGUCACCAUAGCAUUGCUGUUUAUAGCCUCUGAUCCAAAGUUUGCAUGGAGAGAUGGGUCAGCUUAGAUAUUUAGAAACUCUUGGAUAGCCUUCUCUCUUUGAAAAUCACUAGUGAAACAAUGAACAGCCUCUGAGAGAAUAACACACUUAGGUAGACAGCAGAGAGGACAGACGAGGUGCCAGCAGAUGGCACUCAAGAAUGUGAACAAGCGCUCCUGAGCAAGCAGAGAAAAUGGUUGUGUGAUGCACUGUCAAGUACUUGCAUGCAGGCUGUACAUGCCCUGUAUGCUCCUAGACUGAACUUAUAAAGAGUAAUUAGUAGUGCUUUCAGUGUUUCACAUCUUUAAUCGGCUAUAUAAAUCCUGUCUUCAGCUUAGAAAAUCUUCGCUUGUGUGACCAAAGUACUCUAUGAAGUAGCUUCUUCUGGAUGUGGAUUAAAACUGGGUUUUGCUGCAGUAUGGAUAAGCUGAGCCAUUGCUUCUAAUUUUUUGCCAAGUCCUAGAAAUUUUAUUGCCUCUUCCUUAGGUCCUGGCAGUCGGGUUGAGGAAAUGAAACUUGGAUGGUUUAUGUGUUAAGAGCUCUUUCUAAAGGACAGCUUUGGUAUCUAGCCUGCUAUUCUUUACUGAGAUCACUGCAGAAGGUUAUUUCUGCUGGUCUUAUGAAAUAAGUUACUGUUCUCCUAUAAUUUGAUUUUAAUUAACAACACUGAAGAGAUUCUGUUUGCUAGAAUUUUACCGUUGGAGUCUAGGAAAUGUUUGGAAAGAAACAUCAGGCUCUGUCUGUUUAUGGCUGUCUGUCACCGACCUUAAAUCACCUCAGAUUUACCAGCUAACCUUCCAACUUGCAAGAGGUCAUGACUUCAGUUGAUGUGGAAUAUAAAGUUGCAUCUUAGAAGGGUGACGUUAACUAAGGAAGGGAGUCUUGUUACUCUCAUUAAUGAAGUUAGCCCCUCAAUUUGCUGACAAGACUUUGCAUCUAUGAUUUAUACCUGGAUCCUAGGAAAUUUGAAGGGUUUUCUCCUUCUUUUUACGCUUACUGGGUUGAAUAUAUCCAGCAUUCUUACACUCUGGAGUUUUCAAAGUGUCUGAGUCAUACUUUUGCUUGUGUUUCUUUGGUCUAAUAUGGGCAGGUAAAAAAGAAGUCUGCCAAUGCCAGAAGCUUUUUCCAGAACUCUCCCUGUAAGGCUUACAGACUGAAUAUUAAACUCUGGGCUUAAGUCCAGCAUGCUGAAUCCGUGGAGGUUUCAUAAGUUAAAUAAAAGAAUUAAAAAACAUUUCUGCAGUUUCAAGUCUAUCCAUAGCACCAUGGGACUGAGUGUGGCAUGGAUCUGAAGCUCUUGAAAGGGUCGAAUGCAAUUUCCCCUAUAAAUAUAGCUGUACAGUGGUUAAAAACUUAGCAGUUAAAUUGUAUCUGCUGAAAGCUUGGUAUGCAAGUUAACAUGACAGCAUUUUUCUUUUGGUCUGAAAUAUGGUUUAAAUUGGUAAUACCAUUUCAAAAUAUUUUUGUGGUUUAUAUUCUGGUGGUCUUCAUUUAUUUGUUUAUUUAUUUUUCUUGUUGUUUAAUAGCCCAUGAAAAUAGGGCUUAAUUAGAAAGCUGACAUUUUGUACCGAUGUUUUGCUCUGAGAAAGGCAAAGAAAUGAGCCACACAUGCACACACAGGCAGCAUUUCUGGCUUCCAGCCCACUCUGAGAUUAGCCUGCAGAAAAAUUUAUUGCCUGUUUCCAGAGAGGUCAUCUGCCACUCACAAAUGUCUUAAUUAUUUGAGUUAAAUUACCACAAUUUCGGUUGCUAUACAUUUGUGGAUAGCUUUUCCUCCAAACUAUGUAGUCACCCUGAUUGAGGGAAGAGUUGUUUAAAAAGUAGGACUGAACUAAGUAAAAGAAAAUAAAAAUACUUAGUUGAGAAUUACAUCUGUGUUUACAUCUAGGCUAUGAUGUGAGAUAGUGGUCUGGAAACUUGCACAGAGAUUCAACUCUGAAUCCAUCUGUUUAUGUUCUGACUUCGAGCAAGUCCUGCUUUACUGAGUUUUCUUUUCCCCAUCAGUUUUGGCUGGUAGUUCUAGUUAAGCCAAAGAGAUGAAGUAGGGUUCUUCUCUAAACACUGGUUAGUAUAGUCGAUCUGAUUGCAUUAUGGAUUAUGGUCCUUGCUGUGUGGCUUGAAGGCACCCUGCAGUGAGACUGAAAGUUAAAAUAGUUUCCAUCCUGAAGACCUGACUUGUCUGGGAGACAGCGGAUCCCUGUGGAGCCUGUAGGGCCAUUGGAAACCUGGCAAGAAUUUUGAUUCCAUGUUGUAGAGAGACAUUGUGGAGGAACUGCUGAAGCUAGUCAGGCACUCUAACUGCUCUCCCUGCACGUAGACUACAUAGGUACAAAAUAUACUGCUAGGGGAAACCUGAACAUUAUUGAACUACAGAACUCUGGGGGUGUGGUAGUCAAGGACAGGGGCCUUAGGAGGUGUUCUCAAUUUUAGUGUGAGGUGAAAGGAUUUUAGAAGGAGGACACUGACAGGACAGUAAUUUUUAUUUUCCCAAAUCUUUCUAGAAAGGAAAAUUACCAAAUGAUGGAGACUGGUGGAGGCCCAGGCUGGUGCCUGAAUACACACAGCCAUGGACUGUGAGAUCAUUGACCAGGUGGUUGUGGUUGUGACAUGAGUGAGAGAUGACUGUGAUCUCACCGACCCUUGCUGCAGAAAUCUGGGCACUGGCAGAGCCCAGCGUUCACUCAUGUCUGGACUCCAGUUGAGCACACCUAUGAGACAUGGAGUCCUGAAUAAGACCUUGGUUAGGUUGUGCUGUGGGGCUGCAGGCAGCAGUUCUUGGUUCUACCACACAGCAUCAGUAUCACUUCCCCAGCUCUGCCUGGCUCAGGCAGUUAGGCACUGUGAGGUGCAUUUGCAGCAGCAGAGAUGAGUGGUUUGGGGAUACAGCCUUGGGGCAGGUAGUGGGGAGCAGGGCCAAGGGGUUUGCUACUGAGGGACCAAGUGGAGUUCUGUGAUGAGUGGCAUUCCUCAGGGGUUGGUGUUGGGACUGGUGUUAUCUUUAUAGACAACACAGAUAGUGGGAUUGUGUGCACCCUCAGCAAGUUUGCAGGUGACACCAAGCUAAGUGGUGUGGUUGGCAUGCCAGGUGGAAGGGAUGUGAUCCAGAGGGAUCUGGACAGGCUUCAAAGGUGGGCCCAUGCCAACCUCAUGAAGUUCAACAAAGCCAAGUGCAUCUGGGCUGGGGCAAUCCCAAUUGAUUGCACAGUUACAGGAUGGGUGGAGAAUAGCUUGAAAGCAGCCCUGAGGAGAAGGAUUUGGGAGUGUCAGUUGAUGAAAGAGUCAUGAGCAGGCAAUGUGCGCUUGCAGCCUAGAAUGCCAACGAUAUCCUGGGUUGCAUCAAGAGAAGCAUGACCAGCAGGUUGAAGGAGGUGAUUCUGUCCCUCUGCUCUGCUCUUAUGAGACCCCAACUGGAGUACUGCAUCCAGUUCUGAAGCCCCCGGCACAAUAAGGACAUGGAGUUGUUGGAGCAGGUCCAAAGGAGGGUCCUGAAAAUGAUCAGAGGGCAGGAGCACCUCCCCUGCCAGGACAGGCUAAGAGAGUUGGGGCUCUUCAAGCUGGAGAAGACUCCGAAGAGACCUUAUAGCAGCCUUCUAGUACCUGAAAAGGGGCCUAUAGGAAAGCUGAGGAGAGACUUUUUACAAGGGUACUUAGUGACAGGAGGAGGGGAAAUGGUUUUAAACUGGAAGAGGGUAGAUUUAGACUAGAUAUUUUGAAGAAAUUCU
ensembl:lncRNA